UACGUAGGGUGCGAGCGUUAAUCGGAAUUACUGGGCGUAAAGCGCACGUAGGCGGCUUUGUACGUUAGAGGUGAAAGCCCGGGGCUCAACUCCGGAAUUGCCUUUAAGACUGCAUCGCUAGAAUUGUGGAGAGGUAAGUGGAAUUCCGAGUGUAGAGGUGAAAUUCGUAGAUAUUCGGAAGAACACCGGUGGCGAAGGCGACUUACUGGACACAUAUUGACGCUGAGGUGCGAAAGCGUGGGGAGCAAACAGG
rnacentral:rRNA from 1 species